rnacentral:rRNA from 1 species
CCCUUAGAUGUCCUGGGCCGCACGCGCGCUACACUGAUGCAUUCAACGAGUAUUUCCUUGGCCGAGAGGCCUGGGCAAUCUUUUAAACCUGCAUCGUGAUAGGGAUAGAUUAUUGCAAUUAUUAAUCUUGAACGAGGAAUUCCUAGUAAACGCAAAUCAUCAAUUUGCAUUGAUUACGUCCCUGCCCUUUGUACACACCGCCCGUCGCACCUACCGAUUGAAUGGUCCGGUGAAAUCUCGGGAUUGUGGCCAGUUCACUUUAUUGGGAGUUGGCUGCGAGAACUUGCUUAAACCUUAUCAUUUAGAGGAAGGUGAAGUCGUANCA